rnacentral:rRNA from 1 species
CCUACGGGAGGCAGCAGUGAGGAAUAUUGGUCAAUGGGCUUACGCCUGAACCAGCCAAGUCGCGUGAGGGAAGACUGCCCUAUGGGUUGUAAACCUCUUUUGUCAGGGAGCAACGCCGGCUACGUGUAGCCGGACUGAGAGUACCUGAAUAAAAAGCAUCGGCUAACUCCGUGCCAGCAGCCGCGCUAAUACGUGGGAUGCGAUCGUUAUCCGAAUGUAUUGGGUUUAAAUGGUGCGUAGGCGGAAUGCAAAGUCAGCGGGAAAAUCACGGGGCUCAACCUCGCUCCGACGUUGAAACUGGCGUUCUUGAGUGGGCGAGAAGUAUGCGGAAUGCGUGGUGUAGGGGUGAAAUGCAUAGAUAUCACGCAGAACUGCGAUUGCGAAGGCAACAUACCGGCGCACAACUGACGCUGAAGCACGAAAGCGUGGGUAUCGAACAGGAUUAGAUACCCCUGUAGUA